CCACGCCUGCUGCUGCUUCUCUCCUUGUGCAGACAAACCUGGAAGCUCCCCAGACCCCUCUGGGGAGGUUAACACCAACGUGGCCUUCUGCUCUGUGCUACGCAGCCGCCUGGGAAGCCACCCUCUGCUCUUCUCAGGGGAGGUAGACUGCACAGACCCCCAAGCCCCAUCCACACAGCCCCCAACCUGCUAUGUGGAGCUCAAGACCUCCAAGGAGAUGCACAGCCCUGGCCAAUGGAGGAGUUUCUACAGGUUCAGGAUCGGGACCUUUCCUACCAUGAAGAUGUUUGAAUAUGUCAGGAAUGACCGUGACGGCUGGAAUCCCUCUGUGUGCAUGAACUUCUGUGCCGCCUUCCUUAGCUUUGCCCAGAGCACGGUUGUCCAGGAUGACCCCAGGCUCGUUCAUCUCUUCUCUUGGGAGCCUGGCGGCCCAGUCACCGUGUCUGUACACCAAGAUGCACCUUACGCCUUCCUGCCCAUAUGGUAUGUGGAAGCUAUGACUCAGGACCUCCCAUCACCCCCCAAGACUCCCUCUCCCAAAUAGUAAUGCUUUAGAGGGAGGCAGUCAUAUCUCUGUGUGCAGAUAAUAAAAGCAUAUUUCUAAGAGGUUC
rnacentral:misc_RNA from 1 species